rnacentral:rRNA from 1 species
ACACUAUCAUUAACUGAAUCCAUAGGUUAAUGAGGCGAACCGGGGGAACUGAAACAUCUAAGUACCCCGAGGAAAAGAAAUCAACCGAGAUUCCCCCAGUAGCGGCGAGCGAACGGGGAGGAGCCCAGAGCCUGAAUCAGUGUGUGUGUUAGUGGAAGCGUCUGGAAAGGCGCGCGAUACAGGGUGACAGCCCCGUACACAAAAAUGCACAUGCUGUGAGCUCGAUGAGUAGGGCGGGACACGUGGUAUCCUGUCUGAAUAUGGGGGGACCAUCCUCCAAGGCUAAAUACUCCUGACUGACCGAUAGUGAACCAGUACCGUGAGGGAAAGGCGAAAAGAACCCCGGCGAGGGGAGUGAAAAAGAACCUGAAACCGUGUACGUACAAGCAGUGGGAGCCUCUUUAUGGGGUGACUGCGUACCUUUUGUAUAAUGGGUCAGCGACUUAUAUUCUGUAGCAAGGUUAACCGAAUAGGGGAGCCGAAGGGAAACCGAGUCUUAACUGGGCGUUAAGUUGCAGGGUAUAGACCCGAAACCCGGUGAUCUAGCCAUGGGCAGGUUGAAGGUUGGGUAACACUAACUGGAGGACCGAACCGACUAAUGUUGAAAAAUUAGCGGAUGACUUGUGGCUGGGGGUGAAAGGCCAAUCAAACCGGGAGAUAGCUGGUUCUCCCCGAAAGCUAUUUAGGUAGCGCCUCGUGAAUUCAUCUCCGGGGGUAGAGCACUGUUUCGGCAAGGGGGUCAUCCCGACUUACCAACCCGAUGCAAACUGCGAAUACCGGAGAAUGUUAUCACGGGAGACACACGGCGGGUGCUAACGUCCGUCGUGAAGAGGGAAACAACCCAGACCGCCAGCUAAGGUCCCAAAGUCAUGGUUAAGUGGGAAACGAUGUGGGAAGGCCCAGACAGCCAGGAUGUUGGCUUAGAAGCAGCCAUCAUUUAAAGAAAGCGUAAUAGCUCACUGGUCGAGUCGGCCUGCGCGGAAGAUGUAACGGGGCUAAACCAUGCACCGAAGCUGCGGCAGCGACGCUUAUGCGUUGUUGGGUAGGGGAGCGUUCUGUAAGCCUGCGAAGGUGUACUGUGAGGUAUGCUGGAGGUAUCAGAAGUGCGAAUGCUGACAUAAGUAACGAUAAAGCGGGUGAAAAGCCCGCUCGCCGGAAGACCAAGGGUUCCUGUCCAACGUUAAUCGGGGCAGGGUGAGUCGACCCCUAAGGCGAGGCCGAAAGGCGUAGUCGAUGGGAAACAGGUUAAUAUUCCUGUACUUGGUGUUACUGCGAAGGGGGGACGGAGAAGGCUAUGUUGGCCGGGCGACGGUUGUCCCGGUUUAAGCGUGUAGGCUGGUUUUCCAGGCAAAUCCGGAAAAUCAAGGCUGAGGCGUGAUGACGAGGCACUACGGUGCUGAAGCAACAAAUGCCCUGCUUCCAGGAAAAGCCUCUAAGCAUCAGGUAACAUCAAAUCGUACCCCAAACCGACACAGGUGGUCAGGUAGAGAAUACCAAGGCGCUUGAGAGAACUCGGGUGAAGGAACUAGGCAAAAUGGUGCCGUAACUUCGGGAGAAGGCACGCUGAUAUGUAGGUGAAGCGACUUGCUCGUGGAGCUGAAAUCAGUCGAAGAUACCAGCUGGCUGCAACUGUUUAUUAAAAACACAGCACUGUGCAAACACGAAAGUGGACGUAUACGGUGUGACGCCUGCCCGGUGCCGGAAGGUUAAUUGAUGGGGUUAGCGGUAACGCGAAGCUCUUGAUCGAAGCCCCGGUAAACGGCGGCCGUAACUAUAACGGUCCUAAGGUAGCGAAAUUCCUUGUCGGGUAAGUUCCGACCUGCACGAAUGGCGUAAUGAUGGCCAGGCUGUCUCCACCCGAGACUCAGUGAAAUUGAACUCGCUGUGAAGAUGCAGUGUACCCGCGGCAAGACGGAAAGACCCCGUGAACCUUUACUAUAGCUUGACACUGAACAUUGAGCCUUGAUGUGUAGGAUAGGUGGGAGGCUUUGAAGUGUGGACGCCAGUCUGCAUGGAGCCGACCUUGAAAUACCACCCUUUAAUGUUUGAUGUUCUAACGUUGGCCCCUAAUCGGGGUUGCGGACAGUGUCUGGUGGGUAGUUUGACUGGGGCGGUCUCCUCCUAAAGAGUAACGGAGGAGCACGAAGGUUGGCUAAUCCUGGUCGGACAUCAGGAGGUUAGUGCAAUGGCAUAAGCCAGCUUGACUGCGAGCGUGACGGCGCGAGCAGGUGCGAAAGCAGGUCAUAGUGAUCCGGUGGUUCUGAAUGGAAGGGCCAUCGCUCAACGGAUAAAAGGUACUCCGGGGAUAACAGGCUGAUACCGCCCAAGAGUUCAUAUCGACGGCGGUGUUUGGCACCUCGAUGUCGGCUCAUCACAUCCUGGGGCUGAAGUAGGUCCCAAGGGUAUGGCUGUUCGCCAUUUAAAGUGGUACGCGAGCUGGGUUUAGAACGUCGUGAGACAGUUCGGUCCCUAUCUGCCGUGGGCGCUGGAGAACUGAGGGGGGCUGCUCCUAGUACGAGAGGACCGGAGUGGACGCAUCACUGGUGUUCGGGUUGUCAUGCCAAUGGCACUGCCCGGUAGCUAAAUGCGGAAGAGAUAAGUGCUGAAAGCAUCUAAGCACGAAACUUGCCCCGAGAUGAGUUCUCCCUGACUCCUUGAGAGUCCUGAAGGAACGUUGAAGACGACGACGUUGAUAGGCCGGGUGUGUAAGCGCAGCGAUGCGUUGAGCUAACCGGUACUAAUGAACCGUGAGGCUUAACCUU